AUACGGAGGGUGCAAGCGUUAUUCGGAAUCACUGGGCGUAAAGGACGCGCAGGCGGGUUGGCAAGUCAGAUGUGAAAUCCUACAGCUUAACUGUAGAACUGCAUUUGAAACUGCUAACCUAGAGUAUGGGAGGGGGAGAUGGAAUUAGUGGUGUAGGGGUAAAAUCCGUAGAUAUCACUAGGAAUACCGAAAGCGAAGGCGAUCUCCUGGAACAUAACUGACGCUAAGGCGUGAAAGCGUGGGGAGCAAACAGGAUUAGAAACCCGAGUAGUCC
rnacentral:rRNA from 1 species